rnacentral:rRNA from 1 species
ACGGCUCAGUAACACGUAGUCAACAUGCCCAGGGGACGUGGAUAACCUCGGGAAACUGAGGAUAAACCGCGAUAAGUCACUACUUCUGGAAUGGGUAAUGACUAAAAUCUAUAUGGCCCCUGGAUUGGACUGCGGCCGAUCAGGCUGUUGGUGAGGUAAUGGCCCACCAAACCUGUAACCGGUACGGGCUCUGAGAGGAGGAGCCCGGAGAUGGGCACUGAGACAAGGGCCCAGGCCCUAUGGGGCGCAGCAGGCGCGAAACCUCUGCAAUAGGCGAAAGCCUGACAGGGUUACUCUGAGUGAUUUCCGUUAAGGAGAUCUUUUGGCAUCUCUAAAAAUGGUGCAGAAUAAGGGGUGGGCAAGUCUGGUGUCAGCCGCCGCGGUAAUACCAGCACCCCGAGUGGUCGGGACGUUUAUUGGGCCUAAAGCAUCCGUAGCCGGUUCUACAAGUCUUCCGUUAAAUCCACCUGCUUAACAGAUGGGCUGCGGAAGAUACUAUGGAGCUAGGAGGCGGGAGAGGCAAGCGGUACUCGAUGGGUAGGGGUAAAAUCCGUUGAUCCAUUGAAGACCACCAGUGGCGAAGGCGGCUUGCCAGAACGCGCUCGACGGUGAGGGAUGAAAGCUGGGGGAGCAAACCGGAUUAGAUACCCGGGUAGUCCCAGCUGUAAACGAUGCAGACUCGGUGAUGAGUUGGCUUCUUGCCAACUCAGUGCCGCAGGGAAGCCGUUAAGUUUGCCGCCUGGGGAGUACGGUCGCAAGACUGAAACUUAAAGGAAUUGGCGGGGGAG